GUCUAGAGAGUUAUUGUAUGAAGAGGUAGGGAGUGGAGUGCAGCCAAGGAUGACUUGCCGAGAUGUUGUAGCCUAAUGCAAUGACAUAUCGGCAGGUCAUCUUUGGCUACAUUUUAUUCUCUCCUAUUCAUGUAAAACUUUAUAGAC